UCCCUGGAGGUCCAGUGGUUAGGACUCGGCACUUUCACUGCUAGGGGCCUGGGUUCAAUUCCUGGUGGGGGAA
rfam:TPA: Bos taurus chromosome 5, whole genome shotgun sequence.